rnacentral:rRNA from 1 species
UGAUCAUGGCUCAGAUUGAACGCUGGCGGCGUGCUUAACACAUGCAAGUCGAACGAGAAAGGGGCUUCGGCCCUGAGUAGAGUGGCGCACGGGUGAGUAACGCGUAGGUAAUCUACCCUUAUAUUCGGGAUAACAUCGCGAAAGCGGUGCUAAUACCGGAUAUCUUUGUAUGGACGCGAGUCUGUAUGAGGAAAGGUGACCUCUCCAUGGAAGUUACCGUAUGAGGAUGAGCCUGCGUACCAUUAGCUAGUUGGCAGGGUAAUGGCCUACCAAGGCGACGAUGGUUAGCGGGUCUGAGAGGAUGACCCGCCACACUGGAACUGGAACACGGACCAGACUCCUACGGGAGGCAGCAGUGAGGAAUAUUGCGCAAUGGGGGCAACCCUGACGCAGCGACGCCGCGUGAGUGAUGAAGGCCUUCGGGUCGUAAAGCUCUGUCGGAAGGGAAGAAUGGCCAUGAGGUUAAUAUCCUUGUGGAAUGACGGUACCUUCAGAGNAAGCA